rnacentral:rRNA from 1 species
ARMCAYMCYMAUACUMUUUCAUCCGGACCUCUUYUSCCYGCUCGMSCSGCCGCCAGUGUGAUGGAUWUYUKYKSSGUUSGCCCUUAGAGUUUGAUCCUGGCUCAGAACGAACGCUGACGGCGUGCUUAACACAUGCAAGUCGAACGUGAUCCAGAGCUUGCUCUGGUGAAAGUGGCGCACGGGUGAGUAACGCGUGGAUAACCUGCCCUGGUAUCUGGGAUAACAUCUCGAAAGGGGUGCUAAUACCGGAUAAGCCUACGGACUCCUCGGAGUCUGCAGGAAAAGGAGGCCUCUAUUUAUAAGCUUCCGUAUCAUGAUGGGUCCGCGUACCAUUAGCUAGUUGGUGGGGUAAUGGCCUACCAAGGCGACGAUGGUUAGCUGGUCUGAGAGGAUGAUCAGCCACACUGGAACUGAGACACGGUCCAGACUCCUACGGGAGGCAGCAGUGGGGAAUUUUGCGCAAUGGGGGAAACCCUGACGCAGCAACGCCGCGUGAGUGAUGAAGGCUUUCGGGUCGUAAAGCUCUGUCAGAGGGGAAGAAAUGAAACGUGCUAAUAUCACGUUUUCUUGACGGUACCCUCAAAGGAAGCACCGGCUAACUCCGUGCCAGCAGCCGCGGUAAUAC